GCCCGCCAGCCAGGUCCUCCCGUCACUCCCACCAAUGUGCGUUGUUGGAAGUCAGUUCCCCUCUGCUCCCUCCCCAGGCCUGCUCCAGCCUCAGCCCGCCCGCCCGCCGCGGGUAGGCUCCAAGGCCUCGGCCCAGCUGCCCGCGGGCACUGCCGGGUCAGCGGCACACGCACCUGACGGGGCGGCUCUGACGGCGGCGACGGAGGCGGUGCCCAGGACCGGGCUCGCGGCCUAGUCUUACGUUGGCGGCGGCCACACCCCUAACCAGGCAGGGGCCGUCCGCGCUGCCUCGGGACUGCAGCCCUGCUUGCCAGCCAGGCGGCGGGCCGAGAGGCGGGGCGAAGGACUGACUCCGGGGCCGGGUCGGGCGCCACCUCUGGAACGCCUGGUAAUCCAGACAAGUGUCUUGAAUUACAGUUUUCAAAAGACUCAGAGGCUAAACACUUUGUAAUAAUCAGCAGUGCCUCAGAAAAUGAGCCCUCCAGAGAGGAUGACAAUGAUCCAGAACACAGCUCCCCAUCCAACCAAUGGGACAGAGUGGGAGCAAGAAAGGAAUCUCUGCUGUUUUAAGUUGCUGAGACUUUGAGAUUGUUACCAUAGCAGCUGGCCUCUCCAAACUGUUACAGCCCUUCACUCCCCCCAUCAGCCUACAUUGUAUUGUGUCCAUUAUGGAAAUUACCAACUGAUAAUUUCCACUUAUUUUAUUUACUGAUUUUAUUUCCACUCUGCAACCCACACCAAGUUCAUGAAAGUUCCAUGUGAGCAGGGUCUUCGUCUGUGUGGUUCACCACUGAACCUUCUGCUUCUUGAAUUUUCCAGCGCAUAGUCAGUAGGCAAAUAUUUGUAGAUUGAACUUCUGAUGGAUUGCACAUACAAGCACUUGUUUGUGAAUGCUAUUUUGCCAACAAAACUGGAAGAAAUAAAUCUUGCACUCAGCAUCUCUGAAGCACCAAAGCCUAACAUUUCACUCUGCUAUUGUGGGCUGGAUUGACGGCUUGGGUUUCACCCUUCCAGCUAAUUUGCAGGAAGCCAAACUGCUCCCAAUGUUGCCACGAUUCCAUGGUCAGAAAAGGCCUGGCUGGAGAUCUUAUACAGCAGAUAAAGAAAAAUAAAUGAAACUUUACAACCAUGAAUUGUUAAGAGUGAAGUCACCCAGAGUUUGGAGACAGAGUGGGACAGAAUUGAUUUUGGUACUGUUUUUACCUCUGAAAGAUGUUGUUUUACCCUUUUAAAAUUUUCUUCGCUGACUUAAUGUAAUUCCCCCUAAAUGUCCAAGUCUCAAAUUUCACUAUUGUCGAAAAAUAUUAGAACUGAACAAACCUUAGUGAUCACUGAAUUCAGACUACUCCAUUUAUCACCUGGCUUAAUUUUAAUUGGAAACCUCUUAGGGUCUCACUGUUGUCUGUUGGGGGCUUAGAGUUUAGAAAUUCACAUUAGCGAUAGUGUUGCUCAAAGCUGUUGCCUUUUCUGGUACUACCAAGUAGGUUUAAAAAUAUUCUUUGCUCGACCACCCCCUUAUGUAUUUGUAAUAAUGCUAUAAAGAUCACACUUAAAAGAUUAACCCUACAAUAUUUUUAGGUUUUAUAUUUUUGCUCACCUAACAUCUUUCCUUGAUGUUUCAAAAUGUCUAAGGUAUUAAAGAAGUAAGCGCCUUAAAACUAUGAAGUAGGACACAGUAGUUUCUUCAGGGACCCUUGAAGAAGGUAAUUUUAUUCUACUUAAUUAGCUUACUCUCCUAGACCCUAACAGACUAGAUCCAUAACAAACCAGUGUAUUUUGUCCAACUUGCCAAGAAGCGCAUUAACAAAAAAUUAAUUCAAUAAAUGUUUGAUGUCAAACUAUCAAUUCUCAACAUUAAGAGACGGCAAUUUUUAUAAUCUUGUUCAGUUUUAUUAAACAGGUCCUAAUCCUGAAAUUCAGGUACUGUUCACCUGCAGCUAAAUCUGAAAACCAAAAAGAAAACCCAGGUGCUAUUUCCCCCACGGGCUGAAAAUGGGACAGUGUGACUAUUUCAAGUCUCUCCAACACAAAGCCGUAUUCAAUCAAGAAAAAUCAUUUACAUGUGGUUAAGGAAACAGGAAAUUUUCACAUUGGCUUUCAUAUUUAUAUUUUACCAAAAUUUUCCUGAACUCAGUAAUCAUUACUACCACUUUUUAUAGUAUUAUUUACUGCAUCUUAAAAAAAAAAAAACUAAGCAGAAAGUGUACAGUUGAAGAAAACUGGAUGUCAGUCUACAAUGAUUUACUUUUGGCAUGACAGACUUUAUUUUGGCACUUUCACAAAUAUUUUGCUUUACAGCAGUGACAAAAUAUUUGCCAGAAAUUUUUCUUUUCCUGGCACGGAUAUUCCAACCAGUUGUUAUUCUUUGAAUUGAAUUUCACUCUUGCUUCGCACAGUUAAGAGGUAUACCCGUUCCUACCCUCUGUUACUGAGGGACACUGUGUGGCUUUAGAAGGCGCUAUCGUUUCCUUUAGUCACUCUAAAGUGAAUUGAUUCUAUAAGUGAUGGGGCAGGAAUUUGAGAAUUAAUUAAGGCCAUUAGGACUUAAGUAAACACUGUUCCAAGUGUUGCUUAAAAAAAAUUGUUUUUAAUGAAUUCUGUGGCAAUUCCAGGGAAUGUUCUCCAAAUAAAGUAUUCAUACUUUAUUAAAAGUAAAUUGUACGUUGGAAAAGUUGCUGUUUUUACUGUCUUCUUCCUUCUUGGAUGGCUCCCAAUUUAAAACAAAAUUAAUAAUAAAAUAGAAAAAGGAAAUGUUUAGUACAGAAAGUACCAGCCAGGGUACCCUCAUACCUCCAUCUCCUUCCCCAGGCAUCACUCUUUUCAACCAUUUCAAUCCUAAAGCAGUGAGGCCCUCAUUUUAACACACAGAGCCUCCCUGCCUAUCUUCCUUCCCUGUAAGGUGAGCUACUAUAGUCCAUUUAUAAGUUCUUUAGUUAAGCUUCAGUAGACAUUUGGAGCACAAUUUCAUAGGUAAGUCAAUCUAUACGCCUAAGCUUUAGAUACCAACAUCAGGAAAGCCCCCUUCAGAUCUUUGGAAUUUAUAGUCUUAAAAGUUCUUUGCAAAAGCAGGCGUCUGUCUUAAUGUUGCCAACAGCUAUUCUAUAAAGGUUGCAAACUUCAAAAUUCCCUGGCAGCUUUCCAAUAUCUCUACCUAGACAUACACAGGAUAAUACAUUCAGAUUUCCUCUAGCCAAUUCAGAAGUGAAUCUGGUAACGAAGAGUCUCAUCAACAGGCUCUUUGGUGUUAAUUUACAGACACUGUGGAACACUUAGAAAUCAAACCCACGUCAUCCUUGAGAGCAGACGGCUGUUACAAAGGGGAGAUGUACAUUUGAUCAAAAAUGCACAAAAUUUAUAACAGUGACAUUUUCAAUAUUAGGCCACAUGAUUUAUUCAGUAGUUUUGAUGUUCCCAAAUUACAAUUUAUGUCUAUUCAUAAGACUACAAAAGUUACCAUUAGAAUUGUCUGUGCUUAUAAAAUACCAACUUUUUUUAAACUGUUAUAUAUACUCAUUAACACCAGUCUGCAACAGGUUACAUAGAAUCAGAGGCACUUCAAAGGCUUAAAAAGACGUUUACAACUUAAAUGCAUUUUUAAGAACAAAAAUUUGAUUUUUCUUUAAACCUCUACUCAUACCUUCAAAUUGCAAGAAAUUAACAAAUACAGUGGCCAAAGGAAUCUGCAGCAACUUCUUAAAACACUGUUAGCAUCUUUGGGUUUGCUGAGGCUUGUCAGUAACUUACAUCAAAUCCUCCCAAAAGAAGAUCUGAUUAGACAGAUACGACUAAACAGUUUUGUAGUAAGAAUCCAAUUUUACACAUUAAUUUGCUGUUGCAAAUCUGCCCAAAGCUACAGAUAAUAAAAAAUAAAGCAAGUGUAAAAUGGAUAGUCU